rnacentral:rRNA from 2 species
AGUCAUAUGCUUGUCUCAAAGAUUAAGCCAUGCAUGUCUCAGUACAAGCCAAAUUAAGGUGAAACCGCGAAAGGCUCAUUAAAUCAGUUAUGGUUCCUUAGAUCGUACCCACACUUACUUGGAUAACUGUGGUAAUUCUAGAGCUAAUACAUGCAAAUAGAGCUCCGACCGGUGACGGAAGGAGUGCUUUUAUUAGAUCAAAACCAAUCGGCGACGGAAACGUUGUCGUAAUUAUUGGUGACUCGGAAUAACUUUUUGCUGAUCGCACGGUCUUGCACCGGCGACGCAUCUUUCAAAUGUCUGCCUUAUCAACUGUCGAUGGUAGGUUCUGCGCCUACCAUGGUUGUAACGGGUAACGGGGAAUCAGGGUUCGAUUCCGGAGAGGGAGCCUGAGAAACGGCUACCACAUCCAAGGAAGGCAGCAGGCGCGCAAAUUACCCACUCCCGGCACGGGGAGGUAGUGACGAAAAAUAACGAUACGGGACUCAUCCGAGGCCCCGUAAUCGGAAUGAGUACACUUUAAAUCCUUUAACAAGGAUCAAUUGGAGGGCAAGUCUGGUGCCAGCAGCCGCGGUAAUUCCAGCUCCAAUAGCGUAU